rnacentral:lncRNA from 1 species
AAAAUAUGUAAAACAUUUUUCCUUCCUGCUCUCAUCCAGAAACUGUAAACUUUUAACAGGACUUUUAUUAUCUUGUAGGGUAAAUUUUGGAUUGGAUUUCCCGACUCUGAAUUCAUCAAUACAAAUCAAACAUUGUCAUUACUGUCUGUCCAAUAAAUGUACUCUCUUUAUGUGCUUUAGCUAUAAGAAUCAGUAAAAGUGGACAAUUUAUCUCUGCACAUCUCAUGCUUAUGAAGUAGAGGACAUUGUUGGAAAGCUGAAACUCCAGACCAGUUGAAAUCAAUUGGAUUUUUACCAUUGAUUUGAAAUGAGUCAAGAUGUCACUCAUGAAGUUCAUACACUGCAAAUAGCUACAGAAGCUAGAAAUGGAUCUGCAGCACCUGUGUUUAACCAUUCAGCAGUAACAGAACCAGAGGCAAUGGGCACAGACUGA